rnacentral:misc_RNA from 1 species
UUUCCGUAGGUGAACCUGCGGAAGGAUCAUUAUCGUACAAAAUGUGAAGGGCAUGCGAGGGCUGUCGCUGAUCCACAAGCCUUGCACGUCCGAGUGUGUCCUCUUGCAUAAUAAUCCAUCUCACCCUUUGUGCCUCACCGCGUGGGCACCCUUCGGGAUCAUCUCGGAGGGGGGCUCGCGUUUUCACACAAACCCCCCUUUUAAAAGUGUAGAAUGACCACAUUUAUGCAAUCAAUACAACUUUCAACAACGGAUCUCUUGGCUCUC